rnacentral:rRNA from 1 species
GAUGAACGCUGGCGGCGUGCUUAACACAUGCAAGUCGAACGAAGCACCUCUCCCGAAGAUUGACACAACUUGCUGUAGAUUGAUUCAUUUGAGGUGACUGAGUGGCGGACGGGUGAGUAACGCGUGGGUAACCUGCCUCAUAGAGGGGGACAACAGUUGGAAACGACUGCUAAUACCGCAUAGUAAGAAGAAUUCGCAUGUUUUCUUCUUGAAAGAUUUAUCGCUAUGAGAUGGACCCGCGUCUGAUUAGCUAGUUGGUAAGGUAACGGCUUACCAAGGCGACGAUCAGUAGCCGGCUUGAGAGAGUGAACGGCCACAUUGGGACUGAGACACGGCCCAAACUCCUACGGGAGGCAGCAGUGGGGAAUAUUGCACAAUGGGGGAAACCCUGAUGCAGCGACGCCGCGUGAGUGAAGAAGUAUUUCGGUAUGUAAAGCUCUAUCAGCAGGGAAGAUAAUGACGGUACCUGACUAAGAAGCCCCGGCUAACUACGUG